ensembl:lncRNA
CCGCGCACUAGUCCUGCAGACUCUGGAUCAGACAGAGGCUCAGAUCGCAUCGGGCCGGCCGCUGGAGCCAUGUGUUCGGAGAGGACAGGAGCGGCACUGGUCUCCACGGUCGUCUGUCUCAGCCUGUGCUGCUGAUUCAAGCAGCUUGUGCUCCACCACAGACUGUGUUUCCCAUGGUGUGUCUGAAUCUCUGCUGUUCUUCCUGUGGUGGACAUGCAGCUGCUGUGGAGUUGUUCUCAAACUGAUGGUGAAUUAGGAGAUUUUUCUCUCGGAGCUCCAGAUACUUACACGUUACUAACAAAACAUAUGAAUUGUAUAUGUAUAUGGUUAUCAUGCACUACAAUGCCAUAGUUUUACCAUUAUUGUCACUUUUAUUGAAAGGUAGAGCAGAGAAUAGACAGGAAAUUGUAUGGAAACAGUCACACAAGCUAGAGUCGAAUAUGUGUCGCCAGCUAGAGCAGAAUUGCAUCACUUUUGAACUGACCUAAAGGUAUGUUUUUAUAAGCCAGGAAUUUUUUGAACCAAUCAUGCACUAUGGUUAACAUUACCUAAAUUAACUCCUUGCAUAUUAUAAAUAUAGCUGUUCAUAACAAAUGGUUUAUACAGUACUAUUGUAACUCAAGUGUUACUUUAUUAUCUGAAAGCAAUGUUCUGCUGUGUCAAAUCUAGUCCUCAGAUUUGUAACUGAUCUGAAUCUGAUUUGAUCUGAAAUUGAUGAUUCCCAGUGUCAGUACCGUUCCAUAAACUUCAGUAAGCUGCAUGAGAGCUCACCGCUAAGCUACGUCUGCAACAAAUUCUGCCUUUAGCACAGGAGUCAAUAUCAUGGUCUGAUGUAGGUAGAGUUCGGAAAGGAGGCAUAGUUCAGCUAGAAAUCAUCCUCCUACGCUGCCUAUUCUAAAAUAUAUAAAAGUCUAUUUCUGAUUUACUCUGAGUACAAUAAUCCCGCUCAUGUGGAGCAGAGGCUUUUCCAGUGAGGAGUCAAUUGAGGGAAGAGGGCUUGUAUUGCUCUCCGUCUGAGAGGUAAUUAAUUUCAAUUCCAUUCAUUUGUCUCUUUGCCUGACAUUUUAAGCACUGACACUGAUGUGGAGUUUAUAUGGAUUAAUAAUACCCGGCUCAUUCCCGUUGUGGCAUUAACCUGCUUUUGUGUAUUAUCAGAGAAAAACAGACCUGAACACAAGCGCGACUGACCCACAUCAUUACCCUGAACAUGAAAAAAUGUUUACAGGUUUGAGACACAAAGCCACAACCUCAGCCCUGGCUCUCUUUUAUGAAGUUCUGUUGUGCUG